GGACUACCGGGGUAUCUAAUCCCGUUCGCUCCCCAUGCUGUCGUGUCUGAGCGUCAGGGGGGUGCCAGGGCACCGCCUUCGCCUCUGGGGUUCCUCCGGAUCUCUACGCAUUUCACCACUACACCCGGAAUUCCAUGCCCCUCUCACCCCCUCCAGUCUCCCAGUCUGGCAUAACCCCGCCCGGUUGAGCCGGGCGAUUUCAUACACCACUUAGAAGACCGCCUGCACACGCUUUACACCCAGUAAAUCCGGAUAACGCUCGCCACCUACGUUUUACCGCGGCUGCUGGCAC
rnacentral:rRNA from 1 species